CACGUAGGGUGCAAGCGUUGUUCGGAAUUACUGGGCGUAAAGGGCGCGUAGGCGGCACGGCAAGUCGGGAGUGAAAGCCCGGGGCUCAACCCCGGAGGGUCUUCCGAAACUGCCGGGCUAGAGUGCGGAAGAGGCAACCGGAAUUCCCAGUGUAGCGGUGAAAUGCGUAGAUAUUGGGAAGAACACCGGAGGCGAAGGCGGGUUGCUGGGCCGACACUGACGCUGAGGCGCGAAAGCCAGGGGAGCAAACGGG
rnacentral:rRNA from 1 species